CGGAAGUUUGAUCGAGUCCGGGGUCCGGCCCUCGGUUGGGGUGAGAAUCCGUGCGGGCUGCAGGAUCACUGCGGGCGGCCACACUGAGCAGUCCCGGCCUUUCUCUCCCCUUCCCCCUCCCGCUCCACACGGGGGACCCGGGCACUUUCCUGCUUGAAAUCAAAGCAAACCCAGUGAGUGCGGGAAGCCCUCAGCAGAUGCUGUCUGAUCCGUGUCCAGCAUUUUUGAUUUUUAUUUCAGAUUUCCAGCAUCUGCAGAUUUUUUGAUUUUGCUGCUUUCUCUGCCGGCCCGGCCCAAGGUGAGAUUGGGACCGGUCUCCAGACACUGCUGAUGUCCAAAUCAUUCAAGCUCACUACAGAGAGUAAAAUCUCAACAAGCAGAGGAUUUGUUUAUGGGAAUCUCAAACACAACAUCAGCAAAUUCACACUGGGGAGAGGCUGUUCACCUGCUCUGAAUGUGGGAAGGGAUUCACUCGGUCAUUCCAGUUGCUGAUGCAACAACAAAUUCAAAUUCAGUCAUCGCACCUUCUGAUACACCUGCCUGUUCAUACCAGGAAGCGGCUGUUCUCCUACUCAACGUGUGCUAAGGGAUCGGCUCAGUUAACCAGCCUGAUGACACACCAGCGAGUUCAUGCCAGGGAAAGGCCAUUCUCCUGCUCAGAGUGUGGGAAGGGCUUUGCACAUUCAACCAUGUUACGGAGGCACCAGCGAGUUCACACUGGGGAGAGGCCAUUCUCCUGCUCAACAUGUGGGAAAGGAUUCACUCAGUUAUGCAGACUGAAGAUACACCAGUGAGUUCACACCGGGGAGAAGCCGUACACCUGCUCCGAGUGCAGGAAGGGAUUCACUGACUUAUCUAACCUGCUGACACACCAGCGAGUUCACACGGGGAGAGGUCGUUCGUCUGCUUGACGUGCGGGAGGGGAUUCUGUCAGCCAUCCUACUUGAAGACACACAAACGAAUUCACACCAGAGAGAGGCCCUUUGCCUGCCCUACAUGUGGGAAGGGAUACACUACGUCAUCCAUUCUGGUGAGGCACCAGUGAGUUCACACCGGGGAGAGGCCGUUCACCUGCUCUGAGUGUGGGAAGGAAUUCAAUCAGUUAUCCAACCUGAUCACGCACCAGCGAAUUCACACUGCGGAGAAAGAUUAAACAUGCUGUAUGCUCAAUAUACAACCGUCACUGCUACUGAAAUCUAGUGCAAAUUCACAAGUGUUGCAGGUGUUCACGGGGGUCGGUUUCUGUCGACGCUGCUGAUCUCGCCCAGGAUUGAACCCUGGUCAUUGGGUGCAGUUGAUUUUUCUUUUGUAAUCUCUUUAACUGAGUUAGAGUUCAAUGUUCUGGAUCUCUGAUUAAAAUAAAGCAGUUCUGUUUGAAACACUUUAUCUAAGGCCCUUCCUGUCUCUGCAAUGCACACAAUGAACAGCAGACAGAGAGGCCAUUCAGCCCAUCUGGUGCCUUCCAGUGUUUCUGCUCCACACCAGCCUCCUCCCAUCUCACCCAGUGUGAAUAUUCAGAUGCAGCACA